rnacentral:rRNA from 1 species
UUCGUAGCUUGGUUGUUAAGUCUCUUGGGAAAUCUCACGGCUUAACCGUGAGGCGUCUAAGGGAUACUGGCAACCUAGGGACCGGAAGAGGUGAGAGGUACUCCAGGGGUAGGAGUGAAAUCCUGUAAUCCUUGGGGGACCACCUGUGGCGAAGGCGUCUCACCAGGACGGCUCCGACAGUGAGGAACGAAAGCUGGGGGAGCAAACAGGAUUAGAUACCCUGGUAGUCC